GCGUUAUCAGACAUCUCAGCCUCCCACGAGAACUGCGGGAAUGGCAGAAGACAGGCACUUAUGGGUAUUCAUUAUCUAUAUAUAGUUGUAUGGCAGGGCCUGGCCAUAGAAACAUGUCCUUGUUUUAGCAGUGUGCACAGCGUAGGUAACACAAACUGCUGUGAUCACCAAUGAAAGGAUAAGAGGCAACCUGCUGAGGAGAGUGCGGCACAGAAUGGUCGCUGAGUCACAGCCAUCAGGGAAAGUCUUCUUUAAAGCGCAAUGAACUCUGGAUUGAAGAUAAUGAUUGGCUAAUUGGCAUUAAAUUUAAAUAAUCACAAAAAAGAAUUGGGCAUCAAAGAAGGACAAAGAGAAGACAAUUUAGCUACAGUUCACACCACAAUCGAUCAUUCAAAAUUCAAAAGACAAUCGAUUUGAAUCACGUAUAUGGGCAGAUUAUAAUUAAAAUCACAGAUUUGUGUUUUACAAUUGUAACAGAUAUUAGCAUAUUAUAAUUGUAAUCAGAGUAUAUAAUGUGGUCGUGAGGAUUGUGAUGAAAAACACAGUCAGCAAUAACUAACACUAACGUUCUAGCUUUCCGUAGCCAAGGUACAAUGAUCUUCACUGGCAAUAAACGUCGGAGCUCUGGUAGAAUUCUGUAGUGCCACAGCAUGUCAAUGUGGAGAAUUGGCACACAGAUGCGUAAGGAAUCCUGCGUUAUGACAAUGACAAAUGUUUAUCAUUUCUAUCCAAAAAAGGUGUAGCUAGCGAAGGGAUGGUAGUGUCUAUUGGUUGAAUAAACUCAGUCUCUCUCUGUUACAGGGCUAUUGUUAUACUUGUAUGAUUAACUCAGGCCUUUCCAGAAUAAAUGUUUUUUUUUAUUUUU